GUGUAGUCAUCGUAGUCGGUGUGUCCAACUAUUUGAAAAAAUACUGUUGAUUUUUUUUUUUUUCUUAAAGUCAUUACUAGUAGUUUUAAAAUUAAAUUUUUUUUUUUUCAACUGGCGUUUUCGCAAGUUGAAAUCAUAUUUUUUUUUUUAUAAUUUUUUCGUCUAAAUAAUAAAAUACAAAAAUCAACAGUAUUUUUUUUUAAUUAAAAAGUGAUAUUUUUUAAAUAGAUUUCCAAUGGAUUUCAACGAUGAAAAAUUCUUUCUGACGCCUUGACUGGAAGGAAGGACGAGACUGAAGAACACUGACCUACCUCAAGGAGCUGCUAGUUGUCAACCUACCAGUUGAUCAUCUGGCAUCGUUCGGCAGGGAAAUAAAGUUAUUUCCCUGUUGAGGUUUAGGUAUAUGAUUUGGAUGAUUUUUUUCCUAUAUCUUUGAUGACGUGUCUAAUCUAGAGUCCAAUGGAAUCUAAUGACAUGACUGGCCUAUAAGGACCAGAAUAAUUUUUUGGACAGUGAUGUUGCUAAACAUUGAGGACAAGGUGUUGCCGAGCCAAGGACACACCGCUGCUUUAAUUUUUUUUUCUGUUUCAGAUCCAGUCAACGAGAAUGAGGAUAUCCACGGGUGCCAAGGAAUACCGAGACCAGGAGAAGGAGGACCAGGACCAAGAAGAAGACCAAUUAUUUAUUUAAUUAAUUUAAUUAUUUAUUUUUAUUAUUUAUUAUUAAUUUGUAUUUUUUAUAUUUAUUUAGUUAAGUUUAGUGUAAUUGUAAAUAGUUUUAAAUAAUUAUUUUGUUCAGGUAUGAGUGCGAUGGAUGCUAUAAAAGUGAUUUAUAAUUUAAGAAUUUAAUUUAUAUUUUUAUUUUAUAAGAAUGAGUAUGAGUGGCAUGUUUUUAUUGCUUAGCAUGUGCUUGCUUGUUUUAUUUUAUUUUAUUCGGGUCUGAUCGCAUGGUUUGGUUUAUUUAUAUUUAAUUUAAUUUUAUCCUUUUUUCCCACCUCCCUUUAAUUUUAAGUGUGUUUUUUCGUAUUUGGGUUUGACUGCAUGGUUUGAUUUGCUUUUAUUUAAUUUAAUUUUACCUCUUUUUAUUCCCAUUCCCUUUUACUUUUAAGUCUGUAUGAAUAUAAUUUACUAUAAAUUUAAGUGUAUGAUGAAUGAAUGUGAUUUUAUUUAUUGAGAUAUCCGUGCCCGGAUAUUAUUAUUAUUAUUAUUUUUAUUAUUAUUAAGUCUUAAUUUUAAGAAAUUUUAUUUAUAAAAUUUUAUUCUGUAUGUUUUUUUAUAUAUUUAUUUUGUUAAUUAUGUAAUGUAUAAUAUUUUGUAUUUCUAUUUUUUGUUUAUGUAUUUACUUUGUCAAUUAUGUAAUGUAUAUUAUUUUGUAUUUGUAUUUUUUAUUUAGCUUUUUUUUGGUCACCAAUCGAGUGAUCACUGUGUUGGUCGGGUUUUUUCACUGGUAAAAACCUCCGAUUUAAACCGAUAGAUUCCGGGUCUAUCGGAUUUUUAUCGGAGUAUUUUAUCGGUGUCGAGGUUUCCCAAACGGGCUAUUUUCUUUCUACCAAAAGAAAAUAGCUUAGACCAGUACAAUUGUAUUUCUAAACAAAUACAAUUGUAGGUGAAUGCGCACAGUAUAGGAAGUCGGU